GUGAGUCAUCGAAUCUUUGAACGCACCUUGCGCUCCUUGGUAUUCCGAGGAGCAUGCCUGUUUGAGUGUCAUGAAUAUCUCAACCCAACAGUUUUUGUAAUGAGAACUGAAGGGCUUGGACUUGGAGGUUUGCCGGCGCUUGUCGGCUCCUCUCUAAAUACAUUAGCUGAGUCUUUCGAGACGUAGCCUCGGUGUGAUAAUUGUCUACGCCGUGUGUUUAUGUUCUUGCUUGCGCCACCCUACUUUUUAGUGGUUGUGUGGCGGAGACUUCUGGCUUCUAAUCGUCUUUGGACAAUCACUUUGACAUCUGACCUCAAAUCAGGUAGGACUACCCGCUGAACUUAA
rnacentral:rRNA from 1 species